rnacentral:misc_RNA from 1 species
AACGCACAUUGCGCCCGUCAGUAUUCUGGCGGGCAUGCCUGUUCGAGCGUCAUUUCAACCAUCAAGCCCUGUGCUUGCGUUGGGGUUCUGCAGCUGCCGCAGUCCCCUAAAAGCAGUGGCGGACUCGCUGUCAUACCGAGCGCAGUAACAUAUCUCGCUUUGGGCGUGGCGGUGAGCACUAGCCGUUAAACAUACUACUUAAGGUUGACCUCGGAUCAGGUAGGAAUACCCGCUGAACUUAA